rnacentral:lncRNA from 1 species
AUGAAUUUUAGAGUGAAAUUUACGAGAUGGACUGACAAAACACUUCAAGCAUACAGAUUCAGGAACUGAAGUAAUGUUCCAGAAAUGAGUAAAGCCAAAAUUGCUACAUAAAGGAAAGAUUCAAUUUGCAAUUAAAGCAACGCGACUAGACGCAACAACAAAGCACUACAUACUUGCUUGAAAGCUUGCAAAACUUCCUGCCGUUGACUGAAAUGGCGGAAGAGGAGAUGCAGAGCUCCUGAAACAAGAGGAGGGUAGUCAUGCAUCGUUAAAUGAAGCAAGACCCUCAGGAAGGUUCGACCUCCAUAGCCGUCGAGAUCCAGCGCGACACACUCUUCCCUACAAGAAACAAGCAAAACCGUGUAAUGCAGCUGAAAUUUUGUUUAGUAUCCAUCACGAAAGGAUAAGCUUCUUUCUUAAGAGCGGUUGUGGUUGGUGUGCACGGAACGGCUGGCUCAGCUGAUGCUCUGCGAAUUCCGCUAGUUCCUAAGGUUAGUCCUGUCACAACGACACCCAUAUCACCGAUACUCCGUAGAACUCCACCUUCAGCUACAGGAGAGAUAAACAUUCCAUUUAAAUGCAAAAAGCCGAACAAAUACACAUACUUAGAGUGCAGAAACAUUUGUUUUACUGACUUCCCCUAUGAUCUAUGAGACAGUAUUCCCAGGGUUGCCAGCCAAAUUAUUUUUUUCCAUUCCCUGACUUUUCCCUGACUUUCCAAUAUUUUUCCCUGACUUUUAAGUAUGGAUCUGACGCCGUCUGUUAAAGUGAAAAUGAGAGCUAUUUUCGACUAUUUAAAUUUUUAGAACCGCCCGCGCCUAAUUCCACGAAAAAUCAGAAAAAUCCCUGACCAACACCGAAAUUCCCUGACUUUCCCUGACUUUUCCCGGUUGGUUUUUUUUCCCUGACUUUUCCCGGUUUUCCCGGUCGCUGGCAACCCUGUAUUCCAGACUGUAACUUUUGCUGGUAAAUUUGAUUUGAACACGGAAAAAAUUAAAUCGCUGAUUUAACAAUUCAAUUGCUAAAAAAAGUGACGGCAAUAUUUCAACGUAAAUUUCACAACACAAAAAUGCUACUUUAACCAC